rnacentral:rRNA from 1 species
GACGAACGCUGGCGGCGUGCUUAACACAUGCAAGUCGAACGGAAAGGCCCUGCUUUUGUGGGGUGCUCGAGUGGCGAACGGGUGAGUAACACGUGAGUAACCUGCCCUUGACUUUGGGAUAACUUCAGGAAACUGGGGCUAAUACCGGAUAGGAGCUCCUGCUGCAUGGUGGGGGUUGGAAAGUUUCGGCGGUUGGGGAUGGACUCGCGGCUUAUCAGCUUGUUGGUGGGGUAGUGGCUUACCAAGGCUUUGACGGGUAGCCGGCCUGAGAGGGUGACCGGCCACAUUGGGACUGAGAUACGGCCCAGACUCCUACGGGAGGCAGCAGUGGGGAAUAUUGCACAAUGGGCGGAAGCCGGAUGCAGCAACGCCGCGUGCUGGAUGACGGCCUUCGGGUUGUAAACCGCUUUCGCCUGUGACGAAGCGUGAGUGACGGUAAUGGGUAAAGAAGCACCGGCUAACUACGUG